rnacentral:rRNA from 1 species
AGUGGAUGGGGAGCAACCUAGUUGUGCGUGUGUAAAGGUAGUGCCAAGAAAAGCGAUGAUCAUGUUGAAAAUCAAUUCCCGGUACCCGAAACCGACACAGGUGGGCAAGUAGAGAAUACUAAGGGGCGCGAGGUAACUCUCUCCAAGGAACUCGGCAAAAUGACCCCGUAACUUAGGGAGAAGGGGUGCCACCGAGAGGUGGUCGCAGUGAAGAGGCCCAGGCGACUGUUUAGCAAAAACAUAGGUCUCUGCAAACUCGAAAGAGGAGGUAUAGGGGCUGACGCCUGCCCAGUGCCGGAAGGUUAAAGAAGUUGGUCAGUCUUAGGAUGAAGCUAGCGACUGAAGCCCCGGUGAACGGCGGACGUAACUAUAACGGUCCUAAGGUAGCGAAAUUCCUUGUCGGGUAAGUUCCGACCCGCACGAAAGGCGUAACGAUCUGGGCGCUGUCUCGGAGAGAGGCUCGGCGAAAUAGGAUUGUCUGUGAAGAUACGGACUACCUGCAUUUGGACAGAAAGACCCUAUGAAGCUUUACUAUAGCUUGGAAUUGUGUUCGGGCUUCCUGUGCGCAGGAUAGGUGGGAGGCGUAGAAGGUAUUCUUGUGGGGAUACUGGAGCCAACGGUGAGAUACCACUCUCAGGAGGCUAGAAUUCUAACUUAAUUAAGGACAGUUUCAGGUGGGUAGUUUGACUGGGGCGGUCGCCUCCAAAAAGGUAACGGAGGCGUACAAAGGUUCCCUCAGACUGGUUGGAAAUCAGUCGAAGAGUGCAAAGGCAGAAGGGAGCUUGACUGCGAGAAGUACAGUUCGAGCAGGGUGGAAACACGGUCUUAGUGAUCCGACGGUGCUGUGUGGAAGGGCCGUCGCUCAACGGAUAAAAGUUACUCUAGGAUAACAGGCUGAUCUCCCCCAAGAGUUCACAUCGACGGGGAGGUUUGGCACCUCGAUGUCGGCUCAUCGCAACCUGGGGCGGAAGUACGUCCCAAGGGUUGGGCUGUUCGCCCAUUAAAGCGGUACGUGAGCUGGGUUCAGAACGUCGUGAGACAGUUCGGUCCAUAUCCGAUGUAGGCGUGAGAAUAUUGAGAGGAGCCUUCCUUAGUACGAGAGGACCGGGAAGGACGCACCGCUGGUGUACCUGUUAUGAUGCCAAUUGUAAACGCAGGGUAGCCAAGUGCGGAGAGGAUAACCGCUGAAAGCAUCUAAGUGGGAAGCCCACCUCAAGAUGAGUAUUCUGGUGUAAGGUCACGGGAAGACGACCCGUAAAUAGGCACGAGGUGGAAGUGCAGAGAUGUAUGAAGCCGAAGUGUACUAUUAGACCGUCGGCUUGACCG